UACGGGGGGGGCAAGCGUUGUUCGGAAUUACUGGGCGUAAAGGGCGCGUAGGCGGCCUUCUAAGUCGGACGUGAAAUCCCUCGGCUUAACCGAGGAACCGCGUCCGAUACUGAAAGGCUUGAAUCCGGGAGAGGGAUGUGGAAUUCCAGGUGUAGCGGUGAAAUGCGUAGAUAUCAGGAGGAACACCGAUGGCGAAGGCAGCUCGCUGGGACGGUACUGACGCUGAGACGCGAAAGCGUGGGGAGCAAACAGG
rnacentral:rRNA from 1 species